UGGGAGGCUGCACGGGAGCUGCUGCAGGGCGCCACCGAGCGGCCGCUGGAGCGCGUGUUCGCGGCGAACGAGCCAUCAGAUGCCAUGGGAAAUCGGGUUGCCGACGACGCAGCGAUUCGUCAGCAUGCGAACUAUGCGCUGGAGCUGGAGAAGAAGCUGGUGGCCAGGGAGCGCGAGGCCGCGGCGCUGCGGAAGCAGUUCGAGGAGGCGAAGAACGAGCUCGCCGUGGUAAAGAGAGCGGCGGACGCGGAGCGGGAGAAGGCUAAGUCCGAGCUGGUGAAGACGAAGGCCGAGCUCGCCGCGUCUCUGGCGGAUGUGGUGAAGAUGAAGGGCGAGCUCACCGCGGCAGAG
rnacentral:rRNA from 1 species